UACAGAGGUCUCAAGCGUUGUUCGGAUUCAUUGGGCGUAAAGGGCGCGUAGGCGGUUAUGCAAGUCUGGUGUGAAAUCUCGGAGCUCAACUCCGAAAUUGCACCGGAUACUGCGUGACUCGAGGACUGUAGAGGAGAUCGGAAUUCACGGUGUAGCAGUGAAAUGCGUAGAUAUCGUGAGGAAGACCAGUUGCGAAGGCGGAUCUCUGGGCAGUUCCUGACACUGAGGCACGAAGGCCAGGGGAGCAAACGGG
rnacentral:rRNA from 1 species